AACGAACGCUUUCUUCCUUCCUAACACAUGCAAGUCGAACGAGACCUUCGGGUCUAGUGGCGCACGGGUGCGUAACGCGUGGGAACCUGCCCUUAGGUUCGGAAUAACUCCCCGAAAGGGGUGCUAAUACCGGAUAAUGUCUUCGGACCAAAGAUUUAUCGCCUUUGGAUGGGCCCGCGUUGGAUUAGCUAGUUGGUAGGGUAAAAGCCUACCAAGGCGACGAUCCAUAGCUGGUCUGAGAGGAUGAUCAGCCACACUGGGACUGAGACACGGCCCAGACUCCUACGGGAGGCAGCAGUGGGGAAUAUUGGACAAUGGGCGAAAGCCUGAUCCAGCAAUGCCGCGUGAGUGAUGAAGGCCUUAGGGUUGUAAAGCUCUUUUACCCGGGAUGAUAAUGACAGUACCGGGAGAAUAAGCUACGGCUAACUCCGUG
rnacentral:rRNA from 1 species